rnacentral:rRNA from 1 species
ACUCCUACGGGAGGCAGCAGUGGGGAAUAUUGCACAAUGGGCGCAAGCCUGAUGCAGCCAUGCCGCGUGUGUGAAGAAGGCCUUCGGGUUGUAAAGCACUUUCAGUCGUGAGGAAGGUAGUGUAGUUAAUAGCUGCAUUAUUUGACGUUAGCGACAGAAGAAGCACCGGCUAACUCCGUGCCAGCAGCCGCGGUAAUACGGAGGGUGCGAGCGUUAAUCGGAAUUACUGGGCGUAAAGCGCAUGCAGGUGGUUUGUUAAGUCAGAUGUGAAAGCCCGGGGCUCAACCUCGGAAUAGCAUUUGAAACUGGCAGACUAGAGUACUGUAGAGGGGGUUAGAAUUUCAGGUGUAGCGGUGAAAUGCGUAGAGAUCUGAAGGAAUACCGGUGGCGAAGGCGGCCCCUGGACAGAUACUGACACUCAGAUGCGAAAGCGUGGGAGC